rnacentral:lncRNA from 1 species
UGACACAUUUUACUAAAAGUGACAUAUUAAUUGCUGUUGUUUAUAGGCCACAAACAUAUCCUUUGUCAAUUUUCAAAGAUAAUUUGAGUAAACUGAUCAAUUUAAUGUCUUCAGUAUGCAAUAAAAAUAUACUUAUAGGAGACUUUAAUAAUGACGCAUUGAAAUCGAAAUCUCUGUGCUCUUUCAUGUCAGAUAAUGGUUUUAUUCAACUUGUUAAAAAGCCAACAACCGAAAAAGGCACCUUAAUAGACCAUGUAUAUGUAAAGAACUUCAAAGACUGUUCAAUAAACACCAAUGUUGUACCAGUGUACUUUAGCACACAUGAGGGAGUUUUCUGUUCAUUUCAAGGCUAACAUAUUUACAUUUUUGCUGAAAGAUUUUUAUAACUGCUUGUCAGCCUGAUUUGGUUAUGUACAGAUCUGAUUAUAUGGUGAACGAGACAAGGACCACGAUAAUAGAGCUUAUCUCUUUUUUCUGGAUUCUUGUUAAGCCAUUAUCAGAUUUACACAAUUUCACUGUUCUGCUCAGUGUAUUGUGAGUGUGCAUAAUUAAUGACAAUAUUAUGGCAUUACUAUUUUUUUUUUCUAAUAUACUCCCUCUAAAGUCAUUAUAUACAAUUAUUACUUAUUUUAUUUUUUAUAUUGAACCUGCUAUUUAAACCUAUAACAUUUAGAUAUAAUUUAAUUUCUUCACAAAUAAAUUAAUGCUCUCUAAGCAUUUAAAAUUAACAACUUCAACACAAACAUUAUAUUUGCUUUUAAACACAUAUUAACAAAACAAGAAAAAACAAUGCAUUUUCUUUUAAACACAUCUUUAAAAAAAAUCAACUUGAUUUGGUUAUGUACAGAUCUGAUUAUAUGGUGAACGAGACAAGGACCACGAUGAUAGAGCUUAUCUCUUUUUUCUGGAUUCUUGUUAAGCCAUUAUCAGAUUUACACAAUUUCACUGUUCUGCUCAGUGUAUUGGGAGUGUGCAUAAUUAAUGACAGUAUUAUUAGUUUAGUUAGAAACAGUACAUUUAUAAUACUUCACAAAUACCAUAAUAUUCUUCAUACAAUAUUUAUUUUUCCAUAUAGCCUAAUAAUAACAAAAAACAAAAAUGCACUGGUAUUGGUACUCCUGACUAACCACCAGGAUGGGGUUCAACUCCCUGCAGUGUAAUUGUUUGUUAUUGUUUGCUAUAGACUAUUUCAAAGACGUAAACAAUAACAAAGGCGUUGGAACGCUACUGCGCAUGUCUGGUCCUGAAGCAUUUCCGGUAGCACUAUUUUUUAAAUAUCAGACCUGUCAAAAC